rnacentral:rRNA from 1 species
UACGUAGGGUGCGAGCGUUGUCCGGAAUUACUGGGCGUAAAGAGCUCGUAGGUGGUUUGUCGCGUUGUUCGUGAAAUCUCACGGCUUAACUGUGAGCGUGCGGGCGAUACGGGCAGACUAGAGUACUGCAGGGGAGACUGGAAUUCCUGGUGUAGCGGUGGAAUGCGCAGAUAUCAGGAGGAACACCGGUGGCGAAGGCGGGUCUCUGGGCAGUAACUGACGCUGAGGAGCGAAAGCGUGGGGAGCGAACAGGAUUAGAUACCCUGGUAGUCCACGCCGUAAACGGUGGGUACUAGGUGUGGGUUUCCUUCCUUGGGAUCCGUGCCGUAGCUAACGCAUUAAGUACCCCGCUGGGGAGUACGGCCGCGAGGCUAAAACUC